CUCGUUGAUGAUCGGUGCUUGCACCGUAGAUUCAACAUGGAACGAGUGGCGGACGGGUGAGUAACACGUGGGUAACCUGCCCUUAAGUGGGGGAUAACAUUUGGAAACAGAUGCUAAUACCGCAUAGAUCCAAGAACCGCAUGGUUCUUGGCUGAAAGAUGGCGUAAGCUAUCGCUUUUGGAUGGACCCGCGGCGUAUUAGCUAGUUGGUGAGGUAAUGGCUCACCAAGGCGAUGAUACGUAGCCGAACUGAGAGGUUGAUCGGCCACAUUGGGACUGAGACACGGCCCAAACUCCUACGGGAGGCAGCAGUAGGGAAUCUUCCACAAUGGACGCAAGUCUGAUGGAGCAACGCCGCGUGAGUGAAGAAGGCUUUCGGGUCGUAAAACUCUGUUGUUGGAGAAGAAUGGUCGGCAGAGUAACUGUUGUCGGCGUGACGGUAUCCAACCAGAAAGCCACGGCUAACUACGUGCCAGCAGCCGCGGUAAUACGUAGGUGGCAA
rnacentral:rRNA from 2 species